UGCGGAAGGAUCAUUGUU
rnacentral:rRNA from 1 species